UAGCCUCUGAAAGAAAAAACAUUUGCUCAGAGAAUGGCAACUUUCAAUUUAAUCUUUUUUUCUUAAUCCAGUACAUAUUUUUAAACCUCUUAACAUGACCCUUGAGAUGUUUUUGAUAUUGCAAAUGAAUCAAUUCAAAUGUAGCUAACUCUUUGAGUAUGUUUAUGGAGGAGGGCGUUUGUCAAAAUUGAAAUAUUAAUUGAAAACGUUCUAUAGAGCAUUGUGUACUCUGAUCAAGAGUAGAGAAUGGGGAGGAUAUCACCUGGGGCACUGAUGGAGCAAGCAGGCUCUUAGGUUUCGUCUGAUAAUAUAUACAGGCAUUGUAUGAAAAUGCAGUGAACCACAUCCCUACAUGAUCGCAUGGAAAUAGGGUUAAACAUCUAUUCUAUGGGGAGACUUUGUAGAAAAGACUAUCUUAGACUUCAAAAAUAUCCCUGGGUUUACUGGUAUGUGCUAGACACUCAGAAUGUCUCAUAGGAAGGAACAUUUAGGAGCUGGGAGGCUUGAUUGGUAAAGUGCUUCCGUGCAAGCAUGGCCGCUGAGGUCAGAUCCCCAAACCCAUAUAAAAAGCUCGCUGUGACAGUCUGCACUUAUGAUUUCAGCACUGGAGUAACCCCCUGCCCACCAGUGGUAGAAAGACAGAAACGAGAGUCCCUGGGAUCUGCUGAUCAGCCUAGUCAAAUCACUGAGCUCUGGGCUCAGUAAAGAGAUCCUUUCUCAAAAAAUCAGAUGGAAAGAGAAUGAGGAAGACAUCAUUCUGACAUCAACCUCUGACCUCUACACAGACAGACACACAUACACGCACAGAACUCGUAAGAGACCUUUCGAUAGAGAAAACCUAAAUAAUUGAAGUUUCUUAGCUGUAGUAUACAGUUUUCUGUCAGCCGUGGAAAAUGACCUUAGUCAGAACUGACAAUGCAUUCUCUAACCACCUAACAUUAAAGGCAAAUAGUGGAAGAAUGAAAGGACUCACUGAUAGAAGAGCUUCACAUGGAAACCACGGGGAAGCCAAACCUACAUCCUGGGCUCUGUGCAGGGAAACAGGAAAAUGCUCGAGUCUGGACUGUAGGAUGAAGUAGUCCUUAGAGACCCAGCUACUGUGGAGGCUAACAUGGAAGGGUCACUUAACCCCAGACCCAAAUCUAACCUGGGCAACAUAGAAGACCCUGCAUCAAAAAUGAAAACGCUCAAGAGCAUGUUUGUUGCUAGAGAUGGAAGCUAGGGCCUGAAGUAUGCUGGGCAGGUUUUCUACCACUAAAAAUACUGCUUGAAAUUCUGUUGUUGUUGUUGUUGUUGUUGUUGUUGUUGUUGAAGAGGAGGAAGAGCGGGUUUCUUGGGUAGUUUGUUUGAGAUAGUACCAUAGCCUAAAGCUGGCCUAAAGUAUGUGGCCCUUCUGCCUCGUCUGGCUAUGGUGUUUUAUCCUCAAAUCCACACAGUCUCUCUAGAACUUUUAAAAUAAAAUACUUUCCUACUAAUUUAAACUAUCCUGUUUAGUUGGUCUUAAUUAUGUAUUCUGCAUUUGAAAAUUAAGGUCUGGAAAAUUCUAGCCAUAAAUCUUGUAGCUAUGAGCAGGAAGCCACAGAGAAAACAUAUAAAAAGUACAUGUCUGUGGAAUUUGACUCUUUGACCCAUGAUAUUCCUUGUUAUAGGCUAAAAACAAAAGCUUUCCAGACUGAUUUAAUUAGGUCUUUGAAGCCUUGUUAGACAUAUUUUCCAACAGAGUUAAUAUAUUUAUGAACACUAAUUUUGGAGCAGAAGUGGGAAUUAUUAAAAAUCAUAUUUUAAUCAGAAAUAUCUAACAGUGAUAUAGAAUUUUAAGAACAAGAGUAUAUGAGAUAAGAGGUGGAUCUUUAAGAUUCUACCUUAUGAAAUACCAAUGGAUAGACUUUUAUGAAAGCAAUAUAAUGACACUAGAUUACUAGAAAUCUUUUAUUAAAAGCAAGGAAGGGAGCUGGAGAGAUGGCUCAGUGGUUAAGAGCCUAGCUGCUCUUCCAGAGGACUUGAGUUUAAUUCCCAACACUCAUAACAGCAGUUCACAAGUGUCUGUAACCAUUGUUACGGGGACCUGACACCUUUUUCUAGCCUCCAAAAGCACCAGGCACACCCACAGUGCAUAGACAUGCAUGUAGGCAAAAUACACACAAAAAAUUAAAUUUAAAAAAAUAAAAUAAAAUCUAGGGCUGGAGAGAUGGCUCUUUCAGAGGUCAUGAGUUCAAUUCCAGCAACCACAUGGUGGCUCACAACCACGUGUAAUGGGAUCUGAUACUCUCUUCUGAGAGAGCGACAGAGUACUUAUAUACAUAGAAUAAAUAAAUAAAUCUUUAAAAAAAUAAUAUAGGGCUGGCGAGAUGGCUCAGUGGUUAAGAGCUCCGACUGCUCUUCCGAAGGUCCCGAGUUCAAAUCCCAGCAACCACGUGGUGGCUCACAACCAUCCGUAACGAAAUCUGAUGCCCUCUUCUGAAGUAUCUAAGAACAGCUACAGUGUACUUACAUAAAAUAAAUAAAUAAAUCUUAAAAAAAUAAUAAUAGUAAUAAAAUCUAAAUUGCUGGUUGAGAGCAGGAAGGAAACCACAGGCAUGGUGGCAGCUGUUUGUGGUCCACAUAAUAAGUGAAAGCCAGCCUUGACAACACAUCAACCAACACCUGGUCUCCAAACAAGAGUCAGCAACUUAGCACAGGAGGAACUAGGAAUGUCAGCUGGAGUGUGGCACCAUGGAGCACACAGGAGGCAUUGGGCUUGAUUUAGGAUUACAGUUUCUUGUUGGAAUGCAUUAUGUUCCACCUGUUUGCAGCAGAACUUGGAUUAGAUAUUAGUUAAAUUUAUAGUAAUCAAUUGGAACCGCAAACAUUUAAGCUUAAAAAGAAAACAUGUAAGAAGGAGUUAAUCAGGCACAUAGACUACCUGACUGCUUCUAUAAAAACAAUUCCUGCUACCCUGUCCUUACCUACCUGCUAGCAUCACCCUCCCUGAGCCAGAGCCCCAAGACUAAGCAAGCUGUCCUCUAACCUACACAAACCACAGUUUCAACUUCAUUCCUUUACUGUCUUUGAACAAAAACUACAGAAAGUAAUGUUGGAAUAAUUGGAAUUUUUAUGGGAACCCAAAUAAUUGUAGGUUAAAUGUCAUGGCCUAAUAUUUCAGGAGCAAAACAGGUUUUAGUUUGUAGACAGUUUAUUCAACUGCUAGUAGGACAAUCCUUUGUUCAGUGUGAAACUGCAUACUGUAAAGAUCAUGAUGUGAGGGGAGUCACUCAACUGCCUCUGUUUGCCUCCCAGCAAGGUUCAACUUAGUAAGCAUUGCCUGUUUCUAGUACCUUCCUCAGAAAAUAGAUCCGUAUUCACCUCAAGGAUUGUACAAGUACUAGCUGAGACCUAAGUAUUCUACCAUAUAAUAUAGAGUAUAUCUUUAAUUGAAAAGAUACUGGGUUCUGCCUCAUCAGCCCCAGAAUUCUAUAGACUUUCUUGUUAGUCUUAUAUGCUGAAUAUGAUACUUGGAAUUGGUAGGAUUAACAUUUGUGUUUGAGCAGAGUACAGUCAUGAAGGCCGAGCAUAUGAAUUCCAGACUCAGUCCUCUAGAUUCACAUAUUGCUGCUAAUUAUUCUAUCAUCUCAGACAGUCCAGUGAACCUGUGGUAGAUCCUGUCUGUUAUGCUGCUCUUUCAUAAGCUUGCUACGAUUUUAUUUAUUUAUUUUUAUUUUAUUUUACAUUUUUAAUUUUUGGGGGGUUUUCGAGACAUGGUUUCUCUGUAUAGCCCUGGCUGUCCUGGAACUCAUUUUGUAGACCAGGCUGGCCUUGAACUCAGAAAUCCGCCAGCCUCUGCCUCCCAAGUGCUGGGAUUAAAGGCGUGCAUCACCACCGCCUAGCAUGGUAUUAUAUUUAUAGGUUUGAAAUACUGUAAAAUAAUCUGUGUGAAGUAUUCGAAACAGUAUGGCACAGAGAAAGCACUCAGAAAAUGACAGUUAUCAUUGUUGUUACUAUUUUCAACAGUAACCGGUCAACCAGACUUCAGUGAAGACCCAUGUUCAGAAGCAAGCCAGGUCACCUGUGUAGGACCAGUGUCUCUGUCCAAGUACAGCAAGAAUGCAGUGCAGCUACUUAACCGUUAGCCUGUGCCGGGGGAGGCAGAGAACAGAGAAUUGAAGUUUCCUGCUGUUAAUUACUGCACUAGCGCAUUACUAACCUACGUGUAUUGUAACCCGCUGUGCCCUUGCUCUUGCUUGGAAGAAGACUAUAAUUAGAUAAUCUUUCCAAGUCCCAUGCAUUGUGUUUUGCCUGCUUUUUGGGAACGCUGUGGCUCGUGGAACAUGGAUAAACCUUGUUACAAUAGGGUAGAGAUGGCUCCACUGUCUGCUUUUCCAGAGACCCUGCGAGAUUCCCAGCUCACAACCAUCUGUAAUUAGAUCCAGUCCCCUCUUCCGGUUUUUCUGAAGACAGCUACAGUGGACUUAUAUAAAUUUAAAAAGAAAAUUGUUACAAUGGAGCCCAGUGGUUACAAUGAUGCAGACCUUUAAUCCCGGCACUCAGGAGGCAGAGGCAGGCCUGAUCUACAAAGUGAGAUUCAAGACAGCCAGGUCUACACAGAAAAACCAAACCAAAAACAAAUGCACAACCAAAUGUUAUAUACUUUUGCCUUCACAUUUUCAAUAAUGUAUUUGAUAAGGAAAAAGCGAAAUUAUUCUGUUUCCUACUCAAAUGUUCUUAUCUUGUUCCCUGUCUCCCUGCCUUCAUCCCUCCCCAUCUUCCUAUUUGGUUUUCCUUUCAAGUUGUCACUUUAUUUAGUUUUGUUAAAUUUUUCAAAAGAUUUAUUUAUUUAUUUGUUUAUUUAAUGUAUGUGAGUACACUGUAAUUGUCUUCAGACUCACCAGAAGAGGGCAUUGGGUCCCAUUACAGAUGGUUGUGAGCCACCAUGUGGUUGCUGGGAAUUGAACUCAGGGCCUCUGGAAGAGCAGUUAGUGCUCUUAAUGGUAGUUCAUUAUUCUUGUUGUUUGUUUGUUUUUAAGUUUGAAUACUUAACUGUUAUAAAGGUUUUUAGUUAAUUUCAUUGAAUUUCCUGGUAAUAGCUAAGAUUGUUUAUAAUGAUAAUUAAUCUUUUAUGAUAUAUAACCAAGAACACUUUUGUUUGUACACUUCAGAAGUUCUGAUGAUUUUCCAUGCAAUUAGAGAAAAUCAUGUGUUGCUACUUUUAAAAAUUAUCAGAAGUUCAUGCAAAUGUGUUCAUUUAGAAAAUCUUAUUGUCUAUCUUCUGGGAAAGGCUAUACAGAGAUCUUACUGUUUGAAAUCAGGUCCCCCAUAUACUGUACCCAGCUUCCAACUUAUGAACAUUCAUUUAAUGUUUCCCAGGGGUGCAUGAAUCCACAUGCACUGUCUCACAGACUAUGUCUCAAAUGAGUUCAUACUGUGACAUUUUCAGUGAUGAAUAUGUUCUGGGUUGCUCCCUUGGCCCCAGUCUAAGAGCUCCUUUGCCCAGCAUUAUUACCGGUAGCAAAGCUUUAUUUUAUUAGUUGUUAAGUAUUUGCAGAUUGAGAUGCUAUUAAAAUAGGUUAUAAUUUAAGACCUAAGUGUGCAGGUGAUAGAUAUAUUUUAUGUUAGAAUGUUUGUUUUUCUGCUUUUUAUUAUUAAUAUCUUAAGCAACAAUUUUUAUAUAUAAGCAUUUUUUUCUCACUUCAUGGGAAGCCCACUAUUUGGAACCUUGUGAAGUGUUUGUUUGUCAGCUAACUUGAACACUUUAAAACUUUCCUCUGCUAAGAUUCCUUCACCUAAGCCAGUUAUUUACAUACCUAGCUCAGAAUUUUGCAUUAAGCAGAUGUUUGGUGUUUACAAACUGAACUUUCAAAUUAAAGUGCACUUCUGUAAAAUUUAUACUAUUCUUUAUUCAAUAUUUUUAAUCCUCUGUUAGCAAAACAAAGAUAAAGCAUUUUAGCAUUUUCUGUAUGCCCGCAAAGCAUCAGAGUGUGGCUUUAUGCUUUAAGCUGUAGUUAGGGCCCUAGAGUUGAGAGUUGGAAUCUGUGUCAACCUACAUCAUCCUUACUCUGCUCCUGCUAGCUUCAGGCUGUUUUUAGAGUCUCAUUUCUUACUCUUUAUGGUACACAUGUACCAUUAGGCUAUUCAGAAGGUUACAGAAUUACUGAAGGCAAGGAAGAGAAAAACAAUGCCACUGACUAAAGAGUCCACUAAGGCAGUGGAAGCUUGUGUGUUGUUGCUUAUCCUGUCUUAGUUUGCUUUAAAGCUGGGUGAGCAAGCGAUGCUUAAAAUAAAGUUUUAACCCCUCACCAUAUUGCUACAUAUGAAGACACAGUGCUUCAUUUCAGAUAGCUCUGUGUUGUUUCUUAUAAAAAUAAUUGGAAUAGCAGUUUUCCUUCACUUUUAAAUUUAAUAAGCUUGUAUGUUCUGGAUUAGUGCACUUUAUUUCUAUAACUUGUAUGUUUAUUCUUGAUAUAGGUGCAGUUCUUAGAAGCCUGGUCAUCUAUAGUUUUAAGUUAUUUAUUAGUAGCAUACCAGUUUAUCCCAAGCAUUGACUGAUGAAAUGUUCUUAUAAUGCUGACUUUGAAGCAGGAGCCUUUCAACAGACUCAUUUGUGUUCUUCACAUAGCUGGAGAUAAUGUAACACAGCAGAAACUCUAUGCCUACUUUAAUAUCUUUUUUUAUUAUAACAAUCUGAAAGUCAAACUAUAUUUUUAUUAUCACAGUAACUCAGGGUCUGUUCCAUUUCUUUUAUUAACUUACAAGUUUUUUGGGAACACAGAUGGUCAGAUACCAUAAAAACUUUAAAUAAAUGGAACCUCUCUUGAGAUACUUUGAGGAAGAUCAUUUCCUUUUGUAACUAAACAUCUUCUCUAGCAUGUGUAGACACCAUGUCAUAGCUUAGUACUCAGGUUAGAAAGAGCUAGGAGAGGAAUUUUUUGAACAAUGCCUAACUUUAAUUGGGACUCGCUGAUUUAAUGAUUCUAUUAUUAAAGUCCCACAAUUGUCCUAGUUAUCGAUCACUUUGUUAAAGGGAAAGGAUGAAUAAUUUUUUGAAAAAUGUACUUUUUUUACUUACUAAAAUUUUUAGGUAACAAAUGCAGAAUCUACAAAUAUUGCCAACUUAAUGACUUUAUAAAGAUGGCUGAGGAAGGGUAAACAUGCUCCUAAGAAAUUAUUUGUAUGUCCUUUCACAGUAACUACAAAUCAUGAAAAAUGAAGGAAUGUUCCCUUCUGUGUUUUUAAUCCAGGUCCUUCUUUUAUUUCAAACAAAAUAAAGGUCAGUGAGUGUCCAUUUCACUACGUUAGUAGUGUUCAGUGGCAGGAACAAGGGGAAAUACUCACCAAACAUGAUUGUCAAGAGGGCAAUCGGCAUCACAAACAAUCCAACCAGCAAAUCUGCUAUCGCCAAGGACAUUAAAAAGUAGUUGGUAGCGUACUGCAGCCUUUUCUCCAGUGCAACAGCCAGAAUCACAAGGAUGUUCCCACCAAUGGUGGGUAUUAUCACCGCGAGUAUCAGGAGAGCUGCCCAGUGCACUGUAUGCCCCUGUCCCUCCACAGUCUGCUUCAUUUCCUCUGCUACUGAGUCUGUCUCUAAUCCAGAACGGUUAGUCAGGAUCAGGUGAUCACAUGUCUUCUGUAAAAUGUGCUCAGAAGUUGUGCUUUGUUCAGACAUUUUAUAAGAUGAAGCCAUUCGCCUUUUGGUGACUCAGUCCAGUUCCAGACAGUGGUCAGCAUGGUCAGUAGCUAAGCAAGUCAUCUGCUUUAGCAAAGCAUUUAGCAAACCUACCAGACACUCACAGCCAAGGUGACUUCUUCCUUCUAAAAAGAUUCAGGCUCUCGAAGAUGGGACUGUGUACACGUCUGUCCGUGUUUGCAGGUAAGACAUCCACAUUUUAGAUUUUCUAGAGGCUUAGAUUCCAGAAGACUUGAUGAAAGACACCAAUAGAUGUGGAUGAAAAAUGUUAGUUUAUCAUUUCUUUUUUUCUAUAAUUUUAAGACAUGAAUUUAUCAGAGUUUCCUUCUAGAUACAGAGGUAGUUAUUUCUAAAAA